rnacentral:rRNA from 1 species
CAGUAGCGUAUAUUAAAGUUGUUGCAGUUAAAAAGCUCGUAGUUGGAUUUCUGGUUUGAACCGCCCGGCCGGCCGGCGUUAGCCGCGCCAGUGCUAGGUUUGUGUUUUACCAUCCGCCCUUCUUGUCGCUUGUACCCUUCAUUGGGUCGCAAGAUGUUACAGCUGGGCCAUUUACUUUGAAAAAAUUAGAGUGUUUAAAGCAGGCAUUUGCUGUGAAUACAUUAGCAUGGAAUAAUAACAUAGGACUUUUGUUCUAUUUUGUUGGUUUCCUGAACGGAAGUAAUGAUUGAUAGGGACAGUUGGGGGUGCUAGUAUUCCGCGGCCAGAGGUGAAAUUCUUGGAUUCGCGGAAGACUAACUUAUGCGAAAGCAUUCACCAAGGAUGUCUUCUUUAA